rnacentral:rRNA from 1 species
UACGGGAGGCAGCAGUGGGGAAUAUUGCACAAUGGGCGCAAGCCUGAUGCAGCCAUGCCGCGUGUAUGAAGAAGGCCCUUCGGGUUGUAAAGUACUUUCAGUCGUGAGGAAGGUGUUAAGGUUAAUAACCUUAGCAAUUGACGUUAGCGACAGAAGAAGCACCGGCUAACUCUGUGCCAGCAGCCGCGGUAAUACGGAGGGUGCGAGCGUUAAUCGGAAUUACUGGGCGUAAAGGGCACGCAGGCGGUUAAUUAAGUUGGAUGUGAAAUCCCCGGGCUUAACCUGGGAAUGGCAUUCAAGACUGGUUAGCUAGAGUCUUGUAGAGGGGGUAGAAUUCCAUGUGUAGCGGUGAAAUGCGUAGAGAUGUGGAGGAAUACCGGUGGCGAAGGCGGCCCCUGGGACAAAGACUGACGCUCAUGUGCGAAAGCGUGGGGAGCAAACAGGAUUAGAUACC